rnacentral:rRNA from 1 species
GAUGAACGCUGGCGGCGUGCCUAAUACAUGCAAGUCGAGCGAACAGACGAGGAGCUUGCUCCUUUGACGUUAGCGGCGGACGGGUGAGUAACACGUGGGUAACCUACCUAUAAGACUGGGAUAACUUCGGGAAACCGGAGCUAAUACCGGAUAAUAUUUCGAACCGCAAGGUUCGAUAGUGAAAGAUGGCUUUGCUAUCACUUAUAGAUGGACCUGCGCCGUAUUAGCUAGUUGGUAAGGUAACGGCUUACCAAGGCAACGAUACGUAGCCGACCUGAGAGGGUGAUCGGCCACACUGGAACUGAGACACGGUCCAGACUCCUACGGGAGGCAGCAGUAGGGAAUCUUCCGCAAAGGGCGGAAGCCUGACGGAGCAACGCCGCGUGAGUGAUGAAGGUCUUCGGAUCGUAAAACUCUGUUAUUAGGGAAGAACAAACGUGUAAGUAACUGUGCACGUCUUGACGGUACCUAAUCAGAAAGCCACGGCUAACUACGUG